UACGUAGGCAGCGAGCGUUGUUCGGAAUUACUGGGCGUAAAGAGUGUGUAGGCGGUGCUCCCAGUCUGUUGUGAAAUCCCACGGCUCAACCGUGGAACUGCUGGGUAUACUGGUUGUCUUGAGCCAGCUAGGGGUGAGCGGAACAGACGGUGGAGCGGUGAAAUGCGUAGAUAUCGUCUGGAACGCCGAAGGUGAAAACAGCUCGCUGGGGCUGCGCUGACGCUGAGACACGAAAGCCAGGGGAGCGAACGGG
rnacentral:rRNA from 1 species